AGUAAUUCUGCCUCAUUGGAAGAUGAUCAGUAUCACCCCAAUCACUCAAUGAAUGACAAAUAUUUAAACAACUUGGAGGGGACACUACUUGAACUACUGAGAUUGGAUAAAUUGGACUAAGUAAAAAAGGGUUCUAAUGCUCCGGCAGCUGCUGCGUCACCUCAACCUUCGACUUCUAAUGAAUCCAGAAGCCAUGAUGCUGACCUCAUAUGCCCCCUGGAAGAAUCGGCAAAUCAGAUGUUGGUGUUAGAAGCAGUUCCACCACUUGAUAUCCGACAGGUUCUUUCUGCAGUGUCCAGUGGCAGAGAAAUAAUAAAUAAUCUUCAAGACACUGGAGUCAUCAAUAGAAAAC